AUACGUAGGAUGCGAGCGUUAUCCGGAUUUAUUGGGUUUAAAGGGAGCGUAGGUGGGAUAUUAAGUCAGCUGUGAAAGUUUGGGGCUCAACCUUAAAAUUGCAGUUGAUACUGGUUUCCUUGAGUACGGUACAGGUGGGCGGAAUUCGUGGUGUAGCGGUGAAAUGCUUAGAUAUCACGAAGAACUCCGAUCGCGAAGGCAGCUCACCGGGCCGGAACUGACACUGAUGCUCGAAAGUGCGGGUAUCAAACAGGAUUAGAUACCCUGGUAGUCCGCACAGUAAACGAUGAAUACUCGCUGUUUGCGAUACACUGUAAGCGGCCAAGCGAAAGCAUUAAGUAUUCCACCUGGGGAGUACGCCGGCAACGGUGAAACUCAAAUGAAUUGACGGGG
rnacentral:rRNA from 1 species